GUGCUCACUUUGACGGUGCAUAUAAUAAAAAUUUUGAGUGAGACAGAGAUGAUCUACAUGGUCCCUGAAUAAAGAUGAUAUAGGAAUCUAUAAAGUGGUUUUGAUUUUC
ensembl:snRNA U6 U6 spliceosomal RNA